UACGUAGGUGGCAAGCGUUGUCCGGAUUUACUGGGCGUAAAGAGCGCGCAGGCGGUCGUUCAAGUCGCGUGUGAAAGCCCCCGGCUCAACUGGGGAGGGUCACGCGAUACUGAUCGACUCGAAGGCAGGAGAGGGUAGUGGAAUUCCCGGUGUAGUGGUGAAAUGCGUAGAUAUCGGGAGGAACACCAGUGGCGAAGGCGACUACCUGGCCUGUUCUUGACGCUGAGACGCGAAAUCGUGGGGAGCGAACGGG
rnacentral:rRNA from 1 species